AUAUUAUAUCUCUCCACCAGGCCAUCGACCUGCUGCCAGCCAAUACUCAGAUCAGACAGAUCCGUGUGUUCCUGGAGAGUGUUCUGGAGGAGAAGGCCCAGAGGAAACGCUUUGACCAGGUCCUCAAGAGUCUGCUGCAGGCCGAGUUCCUACGGGUCCAGGAGGAGCGUAUCUUCCACCAGCAGGUCAAGUGUACCAUCUCAGAAGAGAAGACCUGCCGGGUCUGUAAGAAGAAGAUAGGCAACAGCGCCUUCGCCAGGUAUCCCAACGGUGUCGUCGUUCAUUACUUCUGCUGUAAGGACCGAGGGGUGUGUCCUAUUGAGCAGUGACACCAAAAUAGUGUCCUCUUGUGGACGACAUGUUCCUUAGCGGCACCCUGGACGGAGGGAGCUGGGUUUGUCUGAAACACUUCCACAGCAGCUUGGCUGUUCAGCUGGACUCAUCUCUGGAACUCUGGAUCUCUGGAACUCUGGAUCUCUGGAUCUCUGGAUCUCUGGAUCUCUGGAACUCUGGAACUCUGGAUCUCUGGAACUCUGGAACUCUGGAACUCUGGAUCUCUGGAUCUCUGGAACUCUGGAUCUCUGGAACUCUGGAUCUCUGGAUCUCUGGAUCUCUGGAACUCUGGAACUCUGGAACUCUGGAUCUCUGGCUGCUUCUGUCUGGAAUUGUGGAAUGCUGUUCCUCUCCCUCCCGAUCUCGCUGUCUCUCUCUGACUCUCGCUGUCUCUCUCUGACUCUCUCUGACUCUCGCUGUCUCUCUCUGACUCUCGCUGUCUCUCUCUGACUCUCGCUGUCUCUCUCUGACUCUCGCUGUCUCUGACUCUCUCUCUGAUUCUAUCUCUCUGACUCUCUCUCUGAUUCUGUCUCUCUGACUCUCUCUCUGUCUCUCUCUGACUCUCUCUGUCUCUCUCUGUCUCUCUCUGACUCUCUCUGACUCUCUCUGACUCUCGCUGUCUCUCUCUGUCUCUCUCUGUCUCUCUCUCUCUCUGACUCUUGCUGACUCUCUGUCUAUCUAAUAUUCGGAUAAUCUUUAUUAGCAUGAAUGACUAAGCCACUGUUGCUAAAGCGAAGUGAGAUAAUGUAAUCAAAAAUAACAGUUAAAAAAAUGUAUGAAUAUUGAUGGUGAUUAGAUAAAGGAGACUAAUAUAUAUAUUAUACACAAUCGUUCAGAAUUUUGGGGUCACUUAGAAAUAUCCUGGUUUUUGAAAGAAAAGCUCAUUUUUUUUGUCCAUUAAAAAUAACAUCAAAUUAAUCAGAAAUACAGUGUAGACAUUGUUAAUGUUGUAAAUGACUGUUGUAGCUGGAAACGGCUGAUCUUUAAUGGAAUAUCUACGUAGGCGUACAGAGGCCCAUUAUCAGCAACCAUCACUCCUGUGUUCCAAUGGCGCGUUGUGUUAGCUCAUCCAAGGUUAUCAUUUUAAAAGACAAACGCCCUUCACAGAACAGUGUAAACUGGGCCUCUUUACGUCAAUGAAGAUAUUCCAUUAAAACUCAGCCUUGCCUCGUUUCCUCCUCUACUCAUCUCAUCCUCAUCCUCAACACGCUAUUGGCUAUACAUAGAGGAGGAGAGUUAAGCUGAUGGUGUGUGUGUGUGUGUGUGUGUGUGUGUGUGUGUGUGUGUGUGUGUGUGUACUUAAAAGCAUCCCUUUGCUUUUCACUUUUCAUGUUGUUCUCAGCGACCCGUUUGUUUCUAAGGAAAUGGUUGAAAACCACUCCAGAUUAUAAUGUAACGACUAAACUUCUAAUAUGGUUCGAUGUGCACAAACAAGUUCUUUUGUUGUUCUUUUUUUUAAAUAUCUCAGUUGCCUCAAUAUAAACCCUUCUGUCUUCACAUA